rnacentral:misc_RNA from 1 species
GUCACACCAUGGGAGUGCAUUGCACCAGAAGUAGAUAGCUUAACCUUCGGGGGAGCGUUUACCACGGUGUGGUCCAUGACUGGGGUGAAGUCGUAACAAGGUAGCACUAGGGGAACCUGGGGCUGGAUCACCUCCUUACGGAAGGCACCCACACGAGUGACUAAAUCUUUUUCAAAAGAUCAACAGAUCUAUUAAAGAACAAUUUGCGAAACUGCAAUAAUUUAUUUCAAAGAAACAAUAGAGUUAACUUUGAGGUUACUUAUUCAAGUAAUUAAGUGCUAAAGGCGGAUGCCUUGGCAUCUAGAGGCGAUGAAGGACGUUGUAACUUGCGAUAAGCCCCGGUGAGCCAGUACACAGGCUAUGACCCGAG